UACAGAGGUCCCAAGCGUUGUUCGGAUUUACUGGGCGUAAAGGGUGCGUAGGCGGUCGGGUAAGUCUGAUGUGAAAUCUCUGGGCUCAACCCAGAAAUGGCAUUGGAUACUAUUUGGCUUGAGGUCUGGAGGGGGGACUGGAAUUCUCGGUGUAGCAGUGAAAUGCGUAGAUAUCGAGAGGAACACCAGUGGCGAAGGCGGGUCUCUGGACAGUUCCUGACACUGAGGCACGAAGGCCAGGGGCGCAAACGGG
rnacentral:rRNA from 1 species